UCAAAGCAAUGCGGUCAGAUUUUGACCUUGAACUUGGUAAACAGCAAAGCCAGAUCGACAGUUUGUCACGGUCAGUUGAGUCUCUUAUUCAUCGAGUGAAAGAGGUAGAGAAAGUAGGACACAGUUACGCAACUCAACCUGGAUCAGCUGUUCACCAUUCGAGCACCGUCAAGGAUUCAGAGGUAACCAUAAUAGCUAGUAAUAUACCUCAGUCAGACGAUGAGGACAUUCUACAAGUUGCAUAGGAUCUUGUUGACUGUCUGAGUGAUUCGAUUAGUGUAGUCGCGGCUGCUAGGCUCAGGAGUCGGAUUCAGGGGAAACCAGGGUUAGUGAAAAUCAGUUUCGCAACUGUCGAGGACAAAGUAGAAAUACUACGGAAGAAACGCGACUUGAAGGGCAGUCAAGCGUACAAAUCUGUUUUCUUAAGGUCCUCUAAAUCCCACACCGAGAGGCUCAUAGAACUUAACGCGAAAACACUACUAACUCAAAUACCGAAUGGAGAACAAUUUCGUAUCACUUCGAAUGGACGGAUAGUAAAGAAAGAUUCUGACCGUCAACACAGCAAUUUCUCCACGGACAGCAACAACCGCGAUCAGGAUCAUCAAUAGCAACCUCCCCGGCCCAUAGACACUAUAAAACUAGGUCACAUUAAUGUCUGUGGAUGGACCGACGAAAAUGCAGAACUUAGAAGCCAAAUUAUCAAUGUCAUGAAUUGUGACAUCAUUUCAAUAAGUGAAACACACUUAUAUAAAGAAAAAGAAAUACAUAUUAAAGGGUACAAGUGGAUAGGAUUCAAUAGACAACAAAUUCACGUAAAUGCACCUAAAGCAUCAGGGGGAGUUGGAAUUCUUGUAAAAAUCUGGUUAACUGAACUUUUUAGUAUUUCUGUGAUCGACAAAUGUUAUGAUGGCAUUUUAGGAAUUAAGUUUACUAAACACAACUCUGAUUUUGAAUUCAUUGUAUUUACUUGUUACCUCCCACCAGAAAAUUCAAACAGAGGACGGGAUGCUCAGGGUUUUUUUGCACAUCUGUUGUCCCAGAUUUAUUUGCACAAUGAAAAUAAUGGUAUUUUUUUAUUGGGUGACAUGAAUUGUAGAAUAGGCAACCUACAAGAGGUAAUACAAGAUGUUGAUGAAAUUACCACUCGUAAACCUAUAGACAACACUAUAAACCAGCAUGGUCAUGAAUUUAUUGAGUUUCUCAAUGAAACAAACUUUUGUGUUCUGAAUGGCAGAUUUCCAGAUGACAAUUUUACGUGUAUUUCACGAAAAGAUGAACAAAAUGGUUUUAGAAGAGGGAGAUCCUGUGAAGAUCACGUAUUUACUUUGAACAGUCUAAUUCAGAAUAAUAAAAAUCUGUAUGUUGCAUUUAUUGAUCUAAAGAAGUGUUUUGAUUUUGUAGAUAGAGACAUGAUGCUGUAUAAACUUCUGUUGAAUGAUAUAAAUGGUAAAA